UACAGAGGGUGCAAGCGUUGUUCGGAAUUAUUGGGCGUAAAGCGCGUGUAGGCGGCUUAGCAAGUCGGGCGUGAAAGCCCUCGGCUCAACCGAGGAAGUGCACCCGAAACUGCUGAGCUUGAGUGCCGGAGAGGAUGGCGGAAUUCCCCAAGUAGAGGUGAAAUUCGUAGAUAUGGGGAGGAACACCGGUGGCGAAGGCGGCCAUCUGGACGGUAACUGACGCUGAGACGCGAAAGCGUGGGGAGCGAACAGG
rnacentral:rRNA from 1 species